rnacentral:rRNA from 1 species
AUCGAACGCUGGCGGCAGGCUUAACACAUGCAAGUCGGGCGGAGAUGAGGUGCUUGCACCUUAUCUUAGCGGCGGACGGGUGAGUAAUGCUUAGGAAUCUGCCUAUUAGUGGGGGACGACAUUCCGAAAGGAAUGCUAAUACCGCAUACGCCCUACGGGGGAAAGCAGGGGAUCUUCGGACCUUGCGCUAAUAGAUGAGCCUAAGUCGGAUUAGCUAGUUGGUGGGGUAAAGGCCUACCAAGGCGACGAUCUGUAGCGGGUCUGAGAGGAUGAUCCGCCACACUGGGACUGAGACACGGCCCAGACUCCUACGGGAGGCAGCAGUGGGGAAUAUUGGACAAUGGGCGGAAGCCUGAUCCAGCCAUGCCGCGUGUGUGAAGAAGGCCUUUUGGUUGUAAAGCACUUUAAGCGAGGAGGAGGCUACCUGGAUUAAUACUCUAGGAUAGUGGACGUUACUCGCAGAAUAAGCACCGGCUAACUCUGUGCCAGCCGCCGCAGUAACAC